GUUGGCGUAUCUCGGAGAAUGGAUAAACAGUGUCAUCAUAUCAACAAAAUUGUCCGAAAGUGUCAGUAAAACAGCCUGCUUUAUUAACAUUCUAGAAAUACUUAACUAGGAACUGACAAUACAAGUGGCAGCCUGGAUUCAUUUAUGCAACUAAACGAGGCCUCUUCGUUACCAGACAGGCGCCUCUGACAAAAUAAUGGUGUAUAGGAGCAAAAAAACAGUAAUAAUGUGACAGUAUUAGUUCUAAUUCAUUGUUAAGAUCGAAACAAUUCUUUAAAAUAGCAACUUCAAAGCCCAUUUUUGUUUCACGAAGUGUAAACAAAGCUUACCAAUGAAAGAAUCAGGGUACGGGACGGGUACCUCAUCUGAAUAAAAUGCCUCUAGAGAAAAUGCCUCGCUUCGGAAAAACGUCAGCAUUCUGGUGAACGGAACUUCAUCAUUCUUCUUAAAGACGACCAUUUCACCAGGUUCUCUAAAUAAAUGGACAGAGCAGCGACAUGUCGAUUAAUUUUUCGUAAGUUGGGACUGCUUUUAUAGCUUUCAUUACUUUCCCAACACUGGUUAAAGUAUAAACGGCACUGCCCGUUUUACAUGUUCAUUUAACUUUACUGACAAUCGAUGUUGAGUUAGUCAUGCUGGUUUUCUGACCCCAUCCCUUUGCGAUCUACAGUAUUAAUCAUGCAAAAAAUCAAUGUAACUUUUUGCACAAUCUACAACAAACAACAACAUGCAGUCUUAUUUCCAUGACUUAUACAUGACUGAUGGACGCAGGGCUCAAGAAGUCUUGUGUUGUAUUUCCAAUGUUUAACCACAAUCUUCCUACGACCAGUGAAAACAAUUUUGUGAUCAGUACCAACUUCUCUUCCUGGACAGAUCACAUGACUGAUUCAGGUUGUCCCUUAGCAACCAUCUAGAGAUGGCAGUAAGGUUCCUCCUGCAUCAAGGCAUGUGAUCCUGCCAAACAACCCAAACUUUCACCCUAUCACAUCAGUCUCCUGGUUUUGUCAGUAAAACACUGACAGAGGUUAGGAGACAAGACGUGGGGGUGGAAGAAUGGGAGGUUGGCGUAUCUCAGAGAAUGGAUAAACAGUAUCAUCAUGUCAACAAAAUUGUCCAAAAGUGUCAUUAACACAGCCUGCUGUGUUUAUGUUCUAGAAAUACCUUAACUAGGAACUCUUACUUACCAGACAAUGACAAUAAAAGUGGCAGCCAGGAUUCAUUUAUGCAACAUAUGCUAAGCCUACCUACAUCUGGUGUGAAAGUGGGUGCUGGCCAAAGCCGAGGGGUGAAUUUUUCUUUUGAAGUGUUUGAGCAAGGAGUUUGCAUAUUGAUUGCCUGUAUUCCAGUCCAGAGCCCGAUAAUAAGAUAUAAAGUUGGCCCCCGAUCUUGCGAUUAUCGGCUACUGAGGCCAUUAAGGUAUUGUGCCUUAGCAAGCUCUACCCAGAACGAUGCUCAAUCAAGGUAAAGUGAGAUUUUGUUAUUCUCUCUGCCCCUUGUUAGUUAAAGUAACAUGUUUUCUGGUGUCCAUGUUGAAGGGGUUGGUAGAGAUGCAAAUGUUUGUUACAUACUACACAUGUAACCCAUCCAAACCAUGUUCUAACAAUGAACAAUACUUACCCCUUCGCCGACGUCCACUUGAGUUUAAUAGGGUACGGGGUCAGGUCUGUCACGGUAAACUCUCGUACACGGAAAGUUGGAGACAGAAUUGCACACUGAGGUUAACAAAUGAAGGGCAAAAAAGAGUUAAGGCCAAUGUCACUGAGGUAUAAGUACACUUCAUGCAUGUAAAUAACGAAAUUAAAUUUAUAACAAAAGAAAGGAGUAGCUGAUACAAUACAAGCUUAUUCUGUGCAUUUGUUGUGCUCAGAAAAGCUUACUGGUCAAAAGUCAAUUGUAGGUAUGGUGUGAAAAUUUCACCUAGAUUCUGAGAUGUAGUUCUGUAAUUUACAAGUCAAAAAUCAAUUUUCCUCUGAAUAAUUCUGUUAAACUAUCAAACAAAGUUUUCACCUGUAAAGCACACCCUCUGCUGACAGCUUCAUCUUGGUUUAAAGUUGUACUCAACUCCUUCUUGAAAACAGACUUGAUGAUCUCCUUGACAGCUGGUAUCCUUGUAGAGCCGCCGAUAAUCUCCACGGAGAAGAUGUCUUCAAGUUUUAUUUCUGAGGAUUAAGCAUGAAAGGAGGGACACAUUGAAUAGAAGUUCCAAGGUAUAUAAUUUAAUAAAAAAUAGAAGUCCCUCUGCUUAAUGAUUCCCAUUGAAAGCUAUAAGGCUUAUGUCCUGUAUACAACACAUCUACAUGGUAUAUAUUGUGUUAAUGCACAGUACCAUUGUAAGACUGUCUAUGGCAAACCAACUGUCCAAACAUCAAUGGGUAAACUUCACUGGAAAAGCUUUACUUUUGAAGUUACAAUUGUUACUACAUUACAGACUAUCAUUUGAUGACACUAUGCACCCUGGCAAGUGAAUACUAAGCACAGGUCUGUGUGUGGUUAUACAGCUUCUACAUACACAGUUUAGUAUGUUAGUUAAUACACCGAAAAUGAGCAGAGGUUAACAAGAGCGUUUAUGGAAGUUGGAGAAAUAUCAAACACACUCGGGCGAUGGAUUCCAGGGAUUGAUAAGUUCACAGGAAAGUGGAAUAUUCCAUCACAACUAUGGUGGGUUCAAAUGAUUGUGGGAUAGUCCAUUUUCAACAUGGGGGAUUUGAAGAAUUGUGGAUAAUCAAUCCUUACUGUAGAGGAUCACUUACUAAUUUGAUCCAGAGCAGCUUUUAAAGGAACUUCAACUCUUUUCAGUAAAUCUGCAGCAAGAGCUUCAAACUCACUCCUAAGGAAAAAGAAUCAAGAAACGAGAAAUCAAUAAAGCAUUUCUUCAGACUCAAAGCAAAUGGUUACCCUUACUUAUUACUGUGAUCACCCAAAAAAUUCACUUGACCUGAAACUGCAUUGCUAGUUUGUGGAAUUAAUGUUGCAUCAGAUGUCCAAAAUUUUGGGAAGGGUCUUGUUACUUUUCAAAGCAAGUAUCAACACUUAACGUUAUUCUAUCAGAAUAUUAUGGUGGGUUUUCCCAGCCUUGCCUACUCUGACUGUGAUUCAGAGCUGGCAAUUUCGUCAUCAUUAACUGCUGAAGAUAAUUACCAGCUAAUUACACCGUUUGUGGACGGACAAAAACUUGUAAAUGACCAUUGCAGCAGUACCUUGAUCGUAUCUGGUGAAAUUUGGAUUUGAUUAUGAAUAGGGGUGCCAUAGUUUAUCUGGAGACUAGAGGACAACUUGCUGAAGCCUGGAGGAAUACUUUUAAUCCAACAUUUUAUUUCCAAUUUUUCCACUUCAAAAUUGUGAUCUUAGUAUUAAUGCAAUAUUAGUCAUUGCUAUAUUGCUUACUUCACAUCCCCUUAUGUAAUGCUAGAACGUCAUCCAUUCCAAAGUCAACACAAUUAGGUGAAAAUUAAAUUACAAAACAACUGGCAGUUUGUGACUAUUGCAUAGCACCAGUUCUCCUCCAGUUCAGUUAUGGUAGAAACUAUGAAAGUUUCCAAAUAUCAGUAUGUUGAGAAUGAUAUCUAGGAAUUGGCUGCAAAAAUUCACCAAGAUAUUUAGAAUGUGAUCUAGAAUGCAAAAGGAUCCAUAACUGACCAAAACCAAUGCAUAAGGCUUGCAUUUAACGACAAGGGCCGUAUAUUUUUUUGUUUAGAUAUAUGGUAGAGUAGAGAUCUGGCCAGGUAAAUAGUCCGUCAAGAAUCAUCUGCAAAGUGAGGGUUACCUCUGCAUGCCUGAUCGUACAUCCUUGUCGUCCAUGACACUUUCCAUGUUGACUGGAAUUCUGGUGGCAUUGGCGCUCAUCUGCUUCUUCAGUUUCUCGGCUUCUACUAGAACACGCUGCCUAGCUCGGAGUUUUGAAUUCACAUCUAUCUUGUAUUUAUCCAGGAAAUCCUUGGCUAACUGCUCAAAUAUAACCCGGUCGAAAUCUCUCCCGCCUAGAGAACGGUCUGAGGCAGUUGAUAGCACCUGCCAAGGUUAAAAUGGUAUUAAAACAGGGAUCAGGGACACUUCAUGAAUCACGCCAAGAACCAUACAUUGUUCUGAUAGUUUCAAACACGAUCACAUGCUAAGCUCCUUUAACUGAUUUAAGUAGAUUUCAAGGUUUGUAUCAACUUCUAUGAUCACACUGAGAAGCAUAAACAGUGGCAUCAAACAGGAACACAUGCUAAGCUCCUUUAAAUGAUUAAAGCAACAACCAAGGUUUGUAUAGGUUUCUACAAUCACACUGAGAAGCAUAAACAGUGAAGCCGGUAUCAAACAUGAUGACAUGAUAAGCUCCUUUAUCUGAUUAAAGCAGAUACCAAGGUUUGUAUCAAUUUCUAUGCUCACACUGAGAAACAUAAACAGUGGCAUCACAUGCUAAGCUCCUAUUUCUGAUUAAAGCAACAACCAAGGUUUGAAUCAAUUUCGAAUCAGUUUCUACAAUCACACUGAGUAGCAUAUAUAGUAAUGCAGGUAUCGAAGACAAACACAUGCUAAGCUCCUUUAAAUGAUUAAAGCAGAAAUCAAGGAUUGUAUCAUAGCAUACAUAAAGAUGACAAUUUCAAACAUUUGGACAUAUUCUAAGCUCCUUUAAUUGUUUAAAGCAGAAAUCAAAUUGGCCAAAUACGUGAAACCCCGCUGGAAUUUCUUUUUUAGAUAUGAAAGUAUGCAAAUACACUGUCACACCUUUUGUUAGCCUACCAUAAAAUAAUACCAGACUGGCAGCCUCUGAAGAAGAUCAAGGUUUGUGGACACAUCAGACCCACUGACUGUUACACAGAUACUUUAUCAGAUAAAGCAAUUCCAAUCAACUUACCUUUAAUUUGCCUUUGUUGAAUGCACAUAUGGCCACUUGGAGGGAUGAGUGGCCCAUAUCAACAAAAACAACAUUUCUGGGCUUUUCCUCUGGUGUUGGAAGGUCCUGUUUGUAGAUGCCAUAGGCAAGUGCAACUGGAAACAAAAUGGACAGUAAAAACCAUUGCUGCCAAUAUCUGACAUUAGUUAUGUUUGGGUUUUUGUCUCUUUCAUUUUCAACUACUUCAGAGGAUCUUGGUGCUUAUAAUUGUAGACUUUGGAGAGCCUCGGCGAUACUCAGUAUAAAUCCAUCCAUAUUAUACCUGCUUAUUUCAUGUUUCAUUUGCAUAGGUAUAUUCCAGUGCUUUAUACACUGGCAAAUUAGGAGUCAAAACUAGGGAAAUUAAAAGAGGUCCUAUGUGAAAAAUAUUCAAACAUUUAGUGCAAAUCAUGUGCAGAAUUACAUCAUGACAAUGGAUAAUCAGCAAGAAGACAAACAGAGGCAUUAUGAUUAAAAUAGAGUACAUCUUCAGAUAUAUGCACUGAUGAACUUGUGCAUAACUACACAUAAGUCAUGGUAAAUUCAGCUGUUAAACAUCACCCCAAAUUUUAACUGCUAGCAUGUUUUUCAUCAAACCAGCUUAAACUUUAUCUCUUUCUUUCUUUUUUUGGUGGAAUGGACAAUUUUGAGAUCAGCACCAACUUCUCUUCCUGGACAGAUCACAUGACCGAUUCAGGUUGUCCCUUAGCAACCAUCUAGAGAUGGUAGUAAGGUUCCUCCUGCAUCAAGACAUGUGAUCCUGCCAAACAACCCAAACUUUCACCCUAUCACAUCAGUCUCCUGGUUUUGUCAGUAAAACACUGACAGAGGUUAGGAGACAAGACGUGGGGGUGGAAGAAUGGGAG
rnacentral:circRNA from 1 species